rnacentral:lncRNA from 1 species
UCGGGGAAGGAGGUGGAUUCAAGGCCGGGCAUGCCUCGACGAUCACCCCACCAUUUUUUUUUAUUGUUAUUUUAUUUAAGUUGUAUUUUUUAUUUUUUUAUUUUUUAUAUAUAAAAUGUACUUUCUCGCUUGUCCAAAUUUGUUUAGAAAUAUAGCUUCGUUCGUUCAUUUAUGAAUUCCUACAAUUAGAGACUGAGUUAGCAUGAAAUUAGCAUCCUAACUCAGCCUAUAAUUGUAAGAGUAUAUUUAGGUUUUGACAUUUUGAAGUUACAUAGGGGACAUGACAUAAGUUGUGAA